rnacentral:misc_RNA from 1 species
UACAGAGGCCUCAAGCGUUAUCCGGAAUCACUGGGCGUAAAGGGUGUGUAGGUGGUCAUGUUAGUCGCCUGUUAAAAUUUCGAGCUCAACUCGAAACUCGCGGGCGAAACGGCAUGACUCGAGGAUGGGAGAGGUGUACGGAACUCAUGGUGUAGGGGUGAAAUCCGUUGAUAUCAUGAGGAACACCAAAGGCGAAGGCAGUACACUGGCCCAAUCCUGACACUGAGACACGAAAGCUAGGGGAGCGAAAGGG